rnacentral:tRNA from 1 species
GGUUGUAGCUCAGUGGUAGAGUGUUUGCCUAGCAUGUGUGAGGCACUGGGUUCUAUCCUCUGCACCA